ACAGACAUCUACAAGAUUGUUGCCAGCAAAGGAGGUUUUGAAAUGGUCAGCGAAGAAAAGAAAUGGUCCAAAGUCGAUAUCUGCUUGGGAUAUCUGCCAGGAAAAGAAACUGGAUCUCUCUUCAAAGUCUCACUAGGAAAGAAUUCUCUACUCAUAUGAGCUGUUCCAGUCUGGUGGUGUCAGUCUUAUGGGCGUGCUGAUGCCUAAUUUAGAUCUUAAGGAAAAAGUGGAACCUGAUGUUCUUCUCACUGAUACCCAAACUUCCCCCGAAGCUGGCACCAGGAUGCAUCAUUGGCCAAAGAGAACAAGACGCCUAAAAUCUCAGUGGGCAGCUUAUAUCGUGGAAAGAAACCUCGAAGACCUAAAGAAAGAAAACACUUGUGAUGGGCAAAAGGAUGCCUCUCUGCACGUGGGACCUGAAGUGGCAGUAUGUCACAUACCAGUCUCCUUCAUGCCCCCUUAGAGCCCAGGCUGAAGAGAAACUCAUA